CUCCCCUCCACUGAGAGCUUCCACCAGCCGCUCGGCUGUCAGGCGCGGUGGCCAAGUGGAGUUCAGCCCCUCCUCUACCGGUUCGGGGCUAGAGCACUGUAACUCUUUCCAGAGGCCCUGCACAGCUGCUGAACUCCCUGCAUCCUCUACCCUUCGACUCCGGUCUGGAUCCCAGCGACGAAGCCUUCUCUGUGAACUUUCCUUCCCUACAACGAUAUGGUCUCCUGUGUCCUGCCGGGAUUACUGAGGUUGGUUUACCACCAACUAGCUUCUCUCUUCAAAACUAUACUAAAGGGUAGCAAU